GUACAUAGGGUACUGAGAACUUCAUAGACAGAAUGAAAAGGAAAAAUAGAAGAAGGUCCAAGAAGUGCUCCACCAGGACCGGAGGCUGCCUUAAUGCCUGAUCCAGGGCCAGGUGAAGUUCCUGCAGCAGCCACUGCUCUUCCAACAGCUCUCCCUGAGGUCGUAGAGCCACCAUUUCGGCAGGCUCUGAUCCCAGCGAUGGAGACCUCUGGUCAACGCCCCCAGAAUUCCACCUCAGCCGGACCUCCUAGAUUGUAUCCACGGCUCCUGACCUGACUUGAGAGACCAGCCAAUCCCAGACCCAGAUUUGGUCCUGUACAGCAAUGGCACCAGCCUGAUGAAACAAGAACAAGGACUGUUGGGAUAUGCAGUAGUCAUGGAAGAAAGCAUCGUUGAGGCUAGCUCUCUGCCAUCACACUGGUCCGCUCAACAGGCCGAUUCAUGUGCUCUAAUCCAGGCUCUCCAGCUGUCAAAAGGCAAGAAGACAAACACUUACACAGACUCCAGGACAGAAUCUUAGAACUGCACUGCCUGCUCAUACGAUCAAUGCUGCCUCUUGGCACAGACAGAAACCUCCGGGGAUUCAGCUGAAAAGCACGCUGCCUUUUGAACACCUGGAAGUGGACUUCACUGAAAUGAAACCUCACCGACACUACCGUUACCUGCUGGUCAUGUUCAAGUUGCAGCUGUCACUCCCUGGAUCCACCACAUGAGGAUGAAGAGAACGUACCAUGCAGACCCAGAAAAUGCUGGGUGGACUGAGCAGAGGGACCCCACUGACCCUCAAGAGACUAAGAUCAUCCUUAAGAAGAAGGAAAAGAAGAUCCUGGACGAGCCCCUUCAGGAUGAAGCCACAUAAUCAACUCCUGCUGUUUGGCCUCAUCAACGUGAUUUUGAAUUUAACUUCCAUUUCCAUUGAGGACAAUGUUUUCAUCUCAUGGGCACAUUCCUACGCGGACUUCCACAACACCUCCAACUACUGGGUACAUGGGGCUAUGCCUCUUUCUGUGACAGACGGACUUCCUUGGUGGGUGUCACCGCUCCACCAAUGAGAUUUUAAACCACUCUGCUCUUUUCUGGAAUGACAAAAAGAGACUUUCCUUUCUCUUGUCAAUCAUAAUCUCUCCUUGCUUUCUUGGUGUAAGCCAGACCUACAGUCAGUAGACUUGGAUCAUUGGGUGACAUUUGAUGUAAACACCAGUUUCACAGAAGUAACAAAAGCCUAUAAC
ensembl:lncRNA